UAAAUGUUAAUGUAACCCCCGUUACAAAUACACUCAGUAAUGAUAUAAAAAGGUCAAUAAAUAUUAAUAAACAACAUGAUAAAAACAGCUAAAAGUUGUGAGGAUAAAAAUAUAAAUAGUAUUCACAUUAAUAAUUUAUAGGUUUUAUUACUAUUUUUGUUUAAAAAGAGAAAUUGUUUUUGUUGUCGAUAAAGUUUAAAGUUUUUUCAAGAGCCCUCCCCAACCUGUGCGGCGCGUAGCGGAGAGAUAGGCCUGUUUAGGGCAGAGACAGCAAGCACGCGCAGCAGAGUAGCCAUUAGCUGAAAAACUACGGUGAAAAACUAAAAUAACGGUGCAAACCUGUUGUCUAGCCAGACCGGAAGAGGGGUGUGAGCCAAAUAAGAUUUUAUGCCAUUACGAGACGAGUUUUGGCCAGGUUUUUGAGUCCCCCCGAGAGUAAUUGGGAGACGGUUCCGGACCGGAUCGUUCUGGACUUCUCCUGAUCCAUGGAUGGCGAGCCUACCCAAGGAGCACGAUAAUCCGGACUGCCUG